rnacentral:rRNA from 1 species
GGAUAACUCYGCGNAAGGAGAGCYAAUACAGCAUGAGACCACGGCUUCUUUGAAGCUGCGGCCAAAGCAGGCCUCUACAUGUAAGCUUGCGCUUGAGGAUAAGUCUGCGGCCCAUCANCUAUUUGGUAGGGUAAUGGCCUACCAAGGCUAAACACAGGGUAGCUGGUCUGAGAGGAUGAACAGCCACACUGGAACUGAGACACGGUCCANGCUCCUACASGGAGGCACCAGUGGGGAAUCUUGCGCAAUGGGCGAAAGCCUGACGCANCGACGCCGCGUGAGCGAUGAAACCUUCGGGUUGUAAAGCUCUGUGGGGAGGAAAGAAUAACGCUUGGCUAAUAUCCAAGCUGAUGACSGUACCUCCUUAGCAAGCACCCGGCUAACUCUGUGCCANMAGCCGCGGUGAGACACAGAGGUGCAAACGUUGUKCGGAANUACUGGCGUAAAGCGCGCCGUAGGCGGCCCUGCAAGWCGGGWGUGAAAUCCCAUGGCUCAACCAUGGAAAUGCACUCNAAACUGCAGGNCUAGAGACCUGGAGAGGANGGUGGAA